UCGUUCUUAAUUAAUUUAUCUUAAUGGGAUGAUUGAUUGAUUAAGGCUAAGUUAUGAGAGUCAAAAAGUGCAAAGCGCCGAAACGCGUGUGCAGGGAGUUGAGUUCAUCGCAGUGAUGAGCUUCAUCUUCGAUUCGUCAAUCAGAUUCGAAUUUCAAAGCAUAAUCUUACCUGCAUAUUGCAUAGAGAAGAAUCUUGAAGCCCAAGUUGAGUGAAGUGAGGACUUUGAAGGGCCUCUUGGAGCUUCUCAUGAUCAUCCCAAGAAUCUCUAUAUGUCUCUAAGUUGGCAAAAGAAUUAAGUAUGGCUGAAAGGCAAAGCUCUUUUCUCCAUUCUUCUAGAGGUGGCAAUCCUGCACGCUCUCCAUAUUUGACACAAUACUGGAAUUGCAAUGCAAUCAAAAGAAGGAAAUAAAUAAAUAUGGAAGGAUACACAAUUAUCUAAGAGAGAGUGACUUUUAAUAAAGACAACAGAAGUACAAAAUGGUGUCUGCAGAAAUAGAGGAACCAUCCACAAAUGUGACCUUUCCAUCCUCAUGAAGUGUGUCUAUCUGCACAAGGUACCAUAUAUACUAUGAAACUACCGAAUAUUGUAGUGAAUUAACUACCUUCUUUAUGGGUUUAGUACUUGAAAAAGAACAAGAAGUUUGAACCUGUGGAUGAAGGUGAAAGUUCUCAUGUUUUGAUAUAACUUUAGAUAAACCCUCAGUGAUAUUAAGAGAUCUGGAACUCAUGUGGACUUCCUUUGCUACUUUCACAAGCUCUAGCGAUAUAUCUUGCCCACUUAAGGAAUUUCCAACAACCACCACAAUCUGUUCAAUGAAGAUUUGCCUCUAUGUUUGAGAAUGUUUUAAUUUAAAUCUCUAAACUUCAUACUUCAUACUCUUUGGAAAUUAGGACACAAAUAGAGAUUGAAGGUUUCGUAUAUAUAUAGUACCUCAUUGCAGAGUGGUUCUGGGGAUCUGUAAACGUGACUAUGCAUUUGUUUUCUGAUCCAUGUAUCCAUUCCUGAGCAUGGGAGAGAAUGUUAUAAAAAAAUGUGUCAUGCAUGAUCA